rnacentral:rRNA from 1 species
UGCGCCUACGGGGCGCAGCAGUGGGGAAUUUUGGACAAUGGGCGCAAGCCUGAUCCAGCUAUUCCGCGUGUGGGAUGAAGGCCCUCGGGUUGUAAACCACUUUUGUAGAGAACGAAAAGACACCUUCGAAUAAAGGGUGUCGCUGACGGUACUCUAAGAAUAAGCACCGGCUAACUACGUGCCAGCAGCCGCGGUAAUACGUAGGGUGCGAGCGUUAAUCGGAAUUACUGGGCGUAAAGGGUGCGCAGGCGGUUGCGUAAGACAGAUGUGGAAUCCCCGAUCUUAACUCGGGAAUGG